UACGUAGGUGGCGAGCGUUGUCCGGAUUUACUGGGCGUAAAGAGCGCGCAGGCGGUCAAGUCAGUCGAAUGUGAAAGCCCCCGGCUCAACUGGGGAGGGUCAUUCGAUACUGCUCGACUUGAAGGCAGGAGAGGGAAGUGGAAUUCCCGGUGUAGCGGUGAAAUGCGUAGAGAUCGGGAGGAACACCAGAGGCGAAAGCGGCGACCUGGACAGGAACUGACACUCAACUACGAAAGCGUGGGGAGCAAACAGG
rnacentral:rRNA from 1 species